rnacentral:rRNA from 1 species
CACGUAGGGGACGAGCGUUGUCCGGAUUCAUUGGGCGUAAAGCGCGCGUAGGCGGCUCGGAAAGUCGGUCGUGAAAUGCCGGGGCUCAACCCCGGGACUGCGUCCGAUACUCCCGAGCUGGAGGCAGGUAGGGGAGAUCGGAAUUCCUGGUGUAGCGGUGAAAUUCGUAGAUAUCAGGAGGAACACCAGUGGCGAAGGCGGCUUUCUGGACGGUAACUGACGCUGAGACGCGAAAGCGUGGGGAGCAAACAGG